rnacentral:rRNA from 1 species
ACGGCUCAGUAACACGUGGACAACCUACCCUAUGGAGGGGGAUAACCCCGGGAAACUGGGGAUAAUACCCCAUAGACUAUGAAUGCUGGAAUGCUUUGUAGUUGAAAGGUCCGCCGCCAUAGGAUGGGUCUGCGGCCGAUUAGGUUGUUGUUGGGGUAACGGCCCAACAAGCCUGUAAUCGGUACGGGUUGUGGGAGCAAGAGCCCGGAGAUGGAUUCUGAGACACGAAUCCAGGCCCUACGGGGCGCAGCAGGCGCGAAAACUUUACAAUGCGGGAAACCGUGAUAAGGGAACUCCGAGUGCCCGUAAAAUCGGGCUGUCCAUCUGUUUAAAUAACAGGUGAAGAAAGGGCCGGGCAAGACCGGUGCCAGCCGCCGCGGUAAUACCGGCGGCUCGAGUGGUGGCCACUAUUACUGGGCUUAAAGCGUUCGUAGCUGGUCUGUUAAGUCUCUGGGGAAAUCUACUGGCUUAACCAAUAGGCGUUUCAGGGAUACUGGCAGACUAGGGACCGGGAGAGGUGAGGGGUACUCCAGGGGUAGGAGUGAAAUCCUGUAAUCCUUGGGGGACCACCUGUGGCGAAGGCGCCUCACCAGAACGGCUCCGACAGUGAGGGACGAAAGCUGGGGGAGCAAACCGGAUUAGAUACCCGGGUAGUCCCAGCUGUAAACGAUGCAGACUCGGUGAUGGACUAGCUUUAUGCUAGUCCAGUGCCGCAGGGAAGCCGUUAAGUCUGCCGCCUGGGUAGUACGGUCGCAAGACUGAAACUUAAAGGAAUUGGCGGGGGAG